CUAACUACUUGGAUACC
rnacentral:sRNA from 1 species